rnacentral:tRNA from 1 species
GGUUAGCUCAGUGGUUAGAGCUUUGGCCUUGUGACCGGAAGCUCUCGGGUUCGAAUCUCGCCAGAAGCA